CGGGGUAUGGCUCUAAGGAAGAGUGCUCGUCUGAUAAGCGAGCGGUCCCGGUUCGAUUCCGGGUACCCCGAC
rnacentral:tRNA from 1 species